GGUGGGACUCUUUCUUUAACGAAAUGGAAGAAGAAGAGGACAGAGACUUGGAUGCAGUUGAUUUGAUUGGCAAACUGAAGAAGUUAAAACUUGAAGAGGCAUUGGAGUUGACCAAAACAACAGAGAACAUAAUCAACAUUCCGGAACUUGAUGAACCAAUCCCGGAGGUAACUAUAGGAAGGGCUAGGAGAGUUAUCUCUCAAAAGGAAGACAUGAAGGUACAAGACGUU
rnacentral:lncRNA from 1 species